UUAAGCAAAUAAAGAAAAACCGAAAGAAUAACAGAAAUUUUUUCGAACGAGCUAUUCGAGAAAUGUCAAAAUUUGUUAGGCUCAAUUUUGGAAAAGUUGGUAGGAGCUCUUUUACUUUCUUCGACAACGGGUGUAAUCUACAAACUUUCUUCGGAGUGGGAACCUUUGAUCGUGUAACAGACGAGUAAAUUGCAUGUGGACCGAAGCCCGGAGUAACAAGUUUCUGAGUACAUCGAAGGGCCGAGUUGCCUACUUGUUUUGUUCGAAACUCAUUAUAUCAGGAUCUACCUCAGCGGGAAUACAUUACGAGCACGAUACCGGAGGAAAACGGGCAAACUCUGUCUCGGACACGCGAUGGACCGAGAGACACGAAAAUGUUCUCGCAAACCGGGCCCGCCAACAAUGGUAAUAAACUUUCAAAUUAACGCGAUUUACACAUUUUAUGGCCGAAUUCAAUCAACUGGCAAUAAAUCCAGUGCCGUAAAUCGAAACGCAGCAUGGCCGAAGUGGCACGACAACUCUUCUCUUUCAUCCACAGCGCAAAAAUUUUAAAACGAAUAACUUAACAUUUCUCUGAAUAAUAUAUAAAUUUCUUUUAUACAGUCCACAUAAAUGCUGCUUUAUUGCUAUAGAAGUUAACCAAAGUAUUUUUUUUAAUAUGUACUGAUUAUAUUUAGUCUGGAACUACAGUGACUCACAUAUUUGUUCA